rnacentral:rRNA from 1 species
GAUGAACGCUGGCGGCGUGCCUAACACAUGCAAGUCGAGCGAAGCGAUUUAACGGAAGUUUUCGGAUGGAAGUUAAAUUGACUGAGCGGCGGACGGGUGAGUAACGCGUGGGUAACCUGCCUCAUACAGGGGGAUAACAGUUAGAAAUGACUGCUAAUACCGCAUAAGCGCACAGCAUCGCAUGAUGCAGUGUGAAAAACUCCGGUGGUAUGAGAUGGACCCGCGUCUGAUUAGCUAGUUGGUAAGGUAACGGCUUACCAAGGCAAUGAUGCAUAGCCGAGUUGAGAGACUGAUCGGCCACAUUGGGACUGAGACACGGCCCAA